GGAUGAACGCUGGCGGCGUGCCUAAUACAUGCAAGUCGAACGCAUAGCGAAAGGUGCUUGCCCCUUUCAAGUGAGUGGCGAACGGGUGAGUAACACGUGGACAACCUGCCUCAAGGCUGGGGAUAACAUUUGGAAACAGAUGCUAAUACCGAAUAAAACUUAGUGUCGCAUGACACAAAGUUAAAAGGCGCUUCGGCGUCACCUAGAGAUGGAUCCGCGGUGCAUUAGUUAGUUGGUGGGGUAAAGGCCUACCAAGACAAUGAUGCAUAGCCGAGUUGAGAGACUGAUCGGCCACAUUGGGACUGAGACACGGCCCAAACUCCUACGGGAGGCUGCAGUAGGGAAUCUUCCACAAUGGGCGAAAGCCUGAUGGAGCAACGCCGCGUGUGUGAUGAAGGCUUUCGGGUCGUAAAGCACUGUUGUAUGGGAAGAACAGCUAGAAUAGGAAAUGAUUUUAGUUUGACGGUACCAUACCAGAAAGGGACGGCUAAAUACGUG
rnacentral:rRNA from 1 species